rnacentral:rRNA from 1 species
UGGGGAAUAUUGCACAAUGGGCGCAAGCCUGAUGCAGCAACGCCGCGUGAGUGAUGAAGGUCUUCGGGUUGUAAAGCUCUGUCUUUUGGGACGAUAAUGACGGUACCAAAGGAGGAAGCCACGGCUAACUACGUGCCAGCAGCCGCGGUAAUACGUAGGUGGCAAGCGUUGUCCGGAUUUACUGGGCGUAAAGGAUGCGUAGGCGGAUUUUUAAGUGAGAUGUGAAAACCCUAAGCUUAACUUGGGGACUGCAUUUCAUACUGGAAAUCUAGAGUGCGGGAGAGGAGAAUGGAAUUCCUAGUGUAGCGGUGAAAUGCGUAGAGAUUAGGAAGAACACCAGUGGCGAAGGCGAUUCUCUGGACCGUAACUGACGCUGAGGCAUGAAAAGCGUGGGGUAGCAAACAGGAUUAGAUACCCUGGUAGUCCACGCCGUAAACGAUGAGUACUAGGUGUAGGAGGUAUCGACCCCUUCUGUGCCGCAGUUAACACAAUAAGUACUCCGCCUGGGAAGUACGAUCGCAAGAUUAAAACUCAAAGAAAUUGACGGGGGUCAUAGCUG